AACGCUAGCUACAGGCUUAACACAUGCAAGUCGAGGGGCAGCAUGAACUUAGCUUGCUAAGUUUGAUGGCGACCGGCGCACGGGUGAGUAACACGUAUCCAACCUGCCGAUGACUCGGGGAUAGCCUUUCGAAAGAAAGAUUAAUACCCGAUGGCAUAGUUCUUCCGCAUGGUAGAACUAUUAAAGAAUUUCGGUCAUCGAUGGGGAUGCGUUCCAUUAGGUUGUUGGCGGGGUAACGGCCCACCAAGCCUUCGAUGGAUAGGGGUUCUGAGAGGAAGGUCCCCCACAUUGGAACUGAGACACGGUCCAAACUCCUACGGGAGGCAGCAGUGAGGAAUAUUGGUCAAUGGACGAGAGUCUGAACCAGCCAAGUAGCGUGAAGGAUGACUGCCCUAUGGGUUGUAAACUUCUUUUAUACGGGAAUAAAGUGAGGCACGUGUGCCUUUUUGUAUGUACCGUAUGAAUAAGGAUCGGCUAACUCCGUGCCAGCAGCCGCGGUAAUACGGAGGAUCCGAGCGUUAUCCGGAUUUAUUGGGUUUAAAGGGAGCGUAGGCGGACGCUUAAGUCAGUUGUGAAAGUUUGCGGCUCAACCGUAAAAUUGCAGUUGAUACUGGGUGUCUUGAGUAUAGUAGAGGCAGGCGGAAUUCGUGGUGUAGCGGUGAAAUGCUUAGAUAUCACGAAGAACUCCGAUUG
rnacentral:rRNA from 1 species